rnacentral:rRNA from 1 species
GAUGAACGCUGGCAGCGUGCCUAAUACAUGCAAGUCGAGCGAACGGACGAGAAGCUUGCUUCUCUGAUGUUAGCGGCGGACGGGUGAGUAACACGUGGAUAACCUACCUAUAAGACUGGGAUAACUUCGGGAAACCGGAGCUAAUGCCGGAUAAUAUUUUGAACCGCAUGGUUCAAAAGUGAAAGACGGUCUUGCUGUCACUUAUAGAUGGAUCCGCGCUGCAUUAGCUAGUUGGUAAGGUAACGGCUUACCAAGGCAACGAUGCAUAGCCGACCUGAGAGGGUGAUCGGCCACACUGGAACUGAGACACGGUCCAGACUCCUACGGGAGGCAGCAGUAGGGAAUCUUCCGCAAUGGGCGAAAGCCUGACGGAGCAACGCCGCGUGAGUGAUGAAGGUCUUCGGAUCGUAAAACUCUGUUAUUAGGGAAGAACAUAUGUGUAAGUAACUGUGCACAUCUUGACGGUACCUAAUCAGAAAGCCACGGCUAACUACGUGCCAGCAGCCGCGGUAAUACGUAGGUGGCAAGCGUUAUCCGGAAUUAUUGGGCGUAAAGCGCGCGUAGGCGGUUUUUUAAGUCUGAUGUGAAAGCCCACGGCUCAACCGUGGAGGGUCAUUGGAAACUGGAAAACUUGAGUGCAGAAGAGGAAAGUGGAAUUCCAUGUGUAGCGGUGAAAUGCGCAGAGAUAUGGAGGAACACCAGUGGCGAAGGCGACUUUCUGGUCUGUAACUGACGCUGAUGUGCGAAAGCGUGGGGAUCAAACAGGAUUAGAUACCCUGGUAGUCCACGCCGUAAACGAUGAGUGCUAAGUGUUAGGGGGUUUCCGCCCCUUAGUGCUGCAGCUAACGCAUUAAGCACUCCGCCUGGGGAGUACGACCGCAAGGUUGAAACUCAAAGGAAUUGACGGGGACCCGCACAAGCGGUGGAGCAUGUGGUUUAAUUCGAAGCAACGCGAAGAACCUUACCAAAUCUUGACAUCCUUUGACAACUCUAGAGAUAGAGCCUUCCCCUUCGGGGGACAAAGUGACAGGUGGUGCAUGGUUGUCGUCAGCUCGUGUCGUGAGAUGUUGGGUUAAGUCCCGCAACGAGCGCAACCCUUAAGCUUAGUUGCCAUCAUUAAGUUGGGCACUCUAAGUUGACUGCCGGUGACAAACCGGAGGAAGGUGGGGAUGACGUCAAAUCAUCAUGCCCCUUAUGAUUUGGGCUACACACGUGCUACAAUGGACAAUACAAAGGGCAGCGAAACCGCGAGGUCAAGCAAAUCCCAUAAAGUUGUUCUCAGUUCGGAUUGUAGUCUGCAACUCGACUACAUGAAGCUGGAAUCGCUAGUAAUCGUAGAUCAGCAUGCUACGGUGAAUACGUUCCCGGGUCU